rfam:Peptoniphilus sp. BV3C26 contig00013, whole genome shotgun sequence.
ACCUUAUUGAGAGUGGUGGAGUGAAUGGGCACGAUGAAACCCGGCAACCUGUAAGUGGUGCUAAAUCCCACGGAUAAUUCCGGAAGAUAAGGA